rnacentral:rRNA from 1 species
UACGGAGGGUGCGAGCGUUGUCCGGAAUCAUUGGGCGUAAAGGGCGCGUAGGUGGCCCGGUCAGUUCGUGGUGAAAGCGCGGGCUCAACCCUGCGUCGGCCAUGAAUACUGCCGCGGCUGGAGCACUGUAGAGGCAGGCGGAAUUCCGGGUGUAGCGGUGGAAUGCGUAGAGAUCCGGAAGAACACCGGUGGCGAAGGCGGCCGACU